rnacentral:rRNA from 1 species
UACGUAGGGAGCAAGCGUUGUUCGGAUUUACUGGGCGUAAAGGGCGCGUAGGCGGCGCGGUAAGUCACUUGUGAAAUCUCUGAGCUUAACUCAGAACGGCCAAGUGAUACUGCAGUGCUAGAGUGCAGAAAGGGCAAUCGGAAUUCUUGGUGUAGCGGUGAAAUGCGUAGAUAUCAAGAGGAACACCUGAGGCGAAGGCGGGUUGCUAGGCUGACACUGACGCUGGGUGCGCGAAAGCCAGGGGAGCAAACGGG